AUACUUACCUGGCAGGGGAGAUACCAUAAUCACGAGGGUGGUUUUCCUAGGGCAAGGCCUAUUCCUUGCACUCUGGAUGUGCUAAUCCCUGCAAUUUCCCCAAAUGUGGGAAACUUGACUGUAUAAUUUGUGGUAGUGGGGAACUGU
rnacentral:snRNA from 1 species